rnacentral:rRNA from 1 species
UACAGAGGUCUCAAGCGUUGUUCGGAUUCAUUGGGCGUAAAGAGCGUGUAGGCGGCCAGGUAGGUCCGUUGUGAAAACUCGAGGCUCAACCUCGAGACGCCGAUGGAAACCAUCUGGCUAGAGUCCGGAAGAGGAGAGUGGAAUUCCCGGUGUAGCGGUGAAAUGCGCAGAUAUCGGGAAGAACACCCGUGGCUAAGGCGGCUCACUGGCCCGAUACUGACGCUGAGGCACGAAAGCGUGGGGAGCAAACAGG